rnacentral:lncRNA from 1 species
CUUUUUUUCAUCUUAAUCCUUAAGAUCUAAUAAAAUUAAUUUCCUCUCUGAAACUCUUAAAGUUAGAAUAAAAUAGUGGUUAGGAAUAUGACUGCAUAGAUACUUAUUAGCUAUGUAGCUUGGGGCACAUUAAUAAGCCCCAAUUUCCUCAUCUGCAAAAGUCAGAAUAAUAAUAAAAUUAGAUUAUGUCAUUUUGAGUGUGAAGUGAUUUAUAUAUGUAAGUGCUUAGCUUGCUGCCUGGAAAGUUGUAAGUUCUUAGUAAACAUGAGGUAUUUUUCAAAACUUGGAGUUGGAAUUUGAACCCAGGUCUACCUUUAAUUCCAAGGUCCGUGAACUUUCCACUGUGCCAUGCUCAGCUAGCGUGGCGACAACACUGGCAGCACAUCAGCCUGGACACUCUUUAAAGAGCGUUUAAUGUGUACUUAUUAAGAGUUCACUCCUUGAUAGCCCCAAACUUUCCAUCAUCACUGGCAAGCCAGUGACUGGAAUUCUCUAGUUGUGGCAAUCACCAGUCACGGAAAACAGCUGAGCCUAAGCAGGUGGCUCUGAAGGUGUCAGCAAAGGGGCAUGACCUCUACUUCUGCAGUCAAAAUUCCAAAGUUCCAAUUGUCUUCACGGCACUCUUUUUGCAGGAUGUCGGAUAGUAUCACUUCUCCAGAUUUUCUAGCUUGGCUAGAGUCAGCGACCAGGAGGAUGGUGUUCAGAGAAAGGCUUGGAUGA